GCCCGGAAAGGGUGGAGCACAACGUCGAAAGCAGCCGUUGGGAGCCCAGGAGGCGGGGCGCCUGUGGGAGCCGUGGAGGGAACUUUCCCAGUCCCCGAGGCGGAUCCGGUGUUGCAUCCUUGGAGCGAGCUGAGAGCUCGAGAACCUGCUAAGGCCAUCAAACCUAUUGAUCGGAAGUCAGUCCAUCAGAUUUGCUCUGGGCCGGUGGUACCGAGUCUAAGCACUGCGGUGAAGGAGUUAGUAGAAAACAGUCUGGAUGCUGGUGCCACUAAUAUUGAUCUAAAGCUUAAGGACUAUGGAGUGGAUCUCAUUGAAGUUUCAGGCAAUGGAUGUGGGGUAGAAGAAGAAAACUUCGAAGGCUUAACUCUGAAACAUCACACAUCUAAGAUUCAAGAGUUUGCCGACCUACCUCAGGUUGAAACUUUUGGCUUUCGGGGGGAAGCUCUGAGCUCACUUUGUGCACUGAGAAACGUGCCUGCUUCCCCUUCGCCUUCUGCCGUGAUUGUCAGUUUCCUGAGGCCUCCCCAGCCAUGCUUCCUGUACAGCCUGCAGAACUGUGAGUCAAUUAAACCUGUUUUCUUCAUAAA
rnacentral:lncRNA from 1 species